rnacentral:rRNA from 1 species
AACGGAAAGGCUCCAGCUUGCUGGAGUACUCGAGUGGCGAACGGGUGAGUAACACGUGGGUAAUCUGCCCUGCACUCUGGGAUAAGCCUGGGAAACUGGGUCUAAUACUGGAUAUGACCUUUCUCCUUAUGGGGUUUGGUGGAAAGUUUUUCGGUGUAGGAUGAGCCCGCGGCCUAUCAGCUUGUUGGUGGGGUGAUGGCCUACCAAGGCG